rnacentral:sRNA from 1 species
AUAUAUUUUGAUUGUUAAUUCCAUGAUUUUAUAUGUAGUAUAAUUAGGGAUGUCAAAAUGGGUAACUCAACUCAACUCAACUCAUAAUCAAAUGAGUUUAAGGUUAAAUGAGUUAUGGGUUGACCCAACUCAUUUUGUUAAAUGGGUUGGAUCAACCCAUAACUCAUUUAAUUUGAUGGGUUGAGUUGUUAAAUGAGUUAACCCAUUUAAGUAAUAAUUUAAUUAAUUAUUAUUAUAAAACAAUAAUAAAUAAUUAUCAUUAUUAGUUCAUUAUCAUCAAACUUAGGAUAUUUACGGAUUCCACUUUUUACGGAUUUACGUUUUUGACGAGAAAAUCACCGGUUUACGUUUUUGGCGGAAAAUUAUAGGUUUACGUUUUUGGCGGGAAAAUUACGGAUUUAAGUUUUUGGCGGGAAAAUUACGGGUUUACAUUUUUGGCGGAAAAAUCUCGGGUUUACGUUUUUGGCGGGAAAAUCACGGAUUUACGUUUUUAGCGGGAAAAUCACGGGUUUUCGUUUUUGGCAGGAAAAUCACGGGUUUUCGUUUUUUGGCGGAAAAAUUACGAGUUUACGUUUUUGGCGAGAAAAUUACGGGUUUACGUUUUUGGCGGGAAAAUCACGGGUUUAUGUUUUUGGCGGGAAAAUCAUGGGUUUACGUUUUUGGCGGGAAAAUCACGGGAUUUACAUUUUUGGCGGGAAAAUCUCGGAUUUACGGGUUUACGUUUUUGGCGGGAAAAUUAUGGAUUUACGUUUUUGGCGGGAAAAUCUCGGAUUUUCGUUUUUGGCGGGAAAAUCUCGGGUUUACGUUUUUGACGAGAAAAUCACGGGUUUACGUUUUUGGCGGAAAAAUCACGGAUUUAUGUUUUUUGGUGGAAAACUUACGAGUUUACUUUUUCUCAAUUUCAUCGCUUGUAUAUUUAAGAAAUUUGGAAAAAUAUUAAUUUUAUUAAAUUGGUUUAGAUGUGUUGGUUAAACUUAAAUUGGCAUUGGUUUAGAGAUUUUAGUUGGUUUAAUUCAAUUUUACAAAACUUGAUGGGUUAAUUGGGUAAACCAUUGAAACCAUUAACCAUUACAACCCAACUCAUUUUACUCAUCAAACCAAUUGACUCAUCAACUCAUUUGACCCAUCAACUCAUUUGAGUCAAAAUUUUCAACUGAAUUGGGUUGAGUUGAGUUGAGUUGACCCAUGAAUUUUGACCCAUUUUGACACCCUUAAGUAUAAUAUAGACCAACACCCGGCUAGUUUCUUGUAAUGUAGUGUUGACCCUGAAAGAAAAAUCGAUAAGAAUACGCAUAAAUGGAUAGUAAAAUUAGGAGAUAAACAUCAUUAGAACAUGAAGUAAUUUACUUAUGAAUCUCUAUCUAUUUUUUU